AGGGGUAUAGCUCAGUGGUAGAGCACAUGCUUAGCAUGCACAAGGUCCUGGGUUCAAUCCUCAGUACUUCCU
rnacentral:tRNA from 1 species